GCAAGUUCCCGUGGUAUGAAAAUGAGCAUUUCUGAUCAGUGACCACAAUGGAAAUAUCACAAGAAGUAUCUCUACCAACAAGUUAAGGUAUUUCAGAAUUCAGGCAAAGCCUAGAAGUAGAAGCAUGUGAUAAUAAAAACAGUAAAAAAUGAAAACAACAAGAAAACAACAACAAAAACCAAGCUCGAAUAAACCUCAAGAAUAAAUGGAAAAAAGAAACAGGAAUCUGAAGAUUAAUGCUACUCCUAAGCCAUUUGCAAAUUUCAUCCCACACAACUAAACAUUGUACCCAUAGGCAAAUUUGGAUUAUUAUAUGCAUAUUGAAAUAGUCAUUUCUUUUGUGCUUUGCUUUGUUUUUUUUCCAAAGUAGCAUUGCUUUUAGUUUGAAUUCAAGUGUGCUGUAGUUAUUUUCAAUUCUGCAACCUAUCAAAUCCCCUAGGAGACUUAUUGCAAUACCAAUAAUAAUAUUGGUUAUCGUCCUAGAAUUUCAACAUUUCAAUGAAAUUAGUCUUCUAAGAUUGUUAUCGA